rnacentral:rRNA from 1 species
CCCUUAGAUGUUCUGGGCCGCACGCGCGCUACACUGAUACGCUCAACGAGCUCCUUGGCCGAAAGGUCCGGGUAAUCUUUGAAAUCGUAUCGUGAUGGGGAUAGAACAUUGCAAUUUUUGUUCUUCAACGAGGAAUUCCUAGUAAGCGCGAGUCAUCAGCUCGCGUUGAUUACGUCCCUGCCCUUUGUACACACCGCCCGUCGCUACUACCGAUUGAAUGGUUUAGUGAGGACUCCUGAUUGGCGCCGCCGCCCCGGCAACGGAGCAGCGGACUGCCGAAAAGUUGUUCAAACUUGAUCAUUUAGAGGAAGUAAAAGUCGUAACA